rnacentral:snoRNA from 13 species
GUGGUCAGGAGAAAGGCUGCUGAGUGGUUGAGCCCGGUCAGCCGGGCACGGCCUUGUAGCAGUUGGCCUUGAUCCCCGACCUAGAGUAAACCCCCAGGAAAGCUCCUUUCUGGGAUUUGAACUUUGCAGUAGCAGGUGUGAGCAUUCUAGCAGCAGUUUGAUGAUCAUGUAUGAUACUGCAAACAAGA